rnacentral:rRNA from 1 species
GCCAGACUCCUACGGGAGGCAGCAGUGGGGAAUAUUGCACAGUGGGGGAAACCCUGAUGCAGCGACGCCGCGUGAGUGAAGAAGUAUUUCGGUAUGUAAAGCUCUAUCAGCAGGGAAGAAGAAGGACGGUACCUGAGUAAGAAGCCCCGGCUAACUACGUGCCAGCAGCCGCGGUAAUACGUAGGGGGCAAGCGUUAUCCGGAUUUACUGGGUGUAAAGGGCGUGCAGCCGGAGAGGCAAGUCAGAUGUGAAAUCCGCGGGCUCAACCCGCGAACUGCAUUUGAAACUGCUUCCCUUGAGUAUCGGAGAGGUAAUCGGAAUUCCUAGUGUAGCGGUGAAAUGCGUAGAUAUUAGGAAGAACACCAGUGGCGAAGGCGGAUUACUGGACGACAACUGACGGUGAGGCGCGAAAGCGUGGGGAGCAAACAGGAUUAGAUACCCCCGUA